UCCUAGGAUACGCGCGCGUGUGUGAGUGCGUGAGGAAUGGUUGGACAAGGAAGAAGAGGCUGGACGAGGAAGGAGAGACGAGGACGGACGCACGUGCGAGUGAGAUGGCAUCGCGUCGCAUUCGGAACAGCACGAUCAUGUAAUUGAGAUAUCUGGCGCUAGUGGUACCGUUGAGCUUCGUGCCACCGCCGUUCUCCUCGUCAUUCUCGCUGGCAGUGUCGCCCUUCGUCUCGAUGAUGGUGUCGAGCCUUUCCAUCAUGCCCCGCUGGGGAUGAUGGUUGCUCGAGCUCUCGCUCUCGGGGGUCUCGUCGGAGUCGAUGUCGAUCGUCCGAUCGUUUACCUGGAUUUUCACCACGGCGUCCACCGGAUAUCUGCUGUUACCCUCGUCGCUAGAAGACGUCGUCGCGCCGGUCGCACUAGAUCCACCGGCGACUCUUGAGGCGAUUGCGGUCUCUCGCUCGCAGCGUGGACAGAUUUGACCGUUGGACGAACCUUCGUCGCUCUGACAGCGGAAGCAGAUCAAGUCGCCGUCGCUGGAGAAGUCGCAGUGUUCGCAAUGCACGACGAUGUAGCCAUUACCUCGGCAGAGCUCGCAGAUCGGACUCUCGUCGCGGUCUGUGAGCAAAUUUACGGGUUAGCCACGACAAUUGCCUGGGGUGGUCUAAGAUUGUCGGCCCUUUGAGAGGCAAUCUCCGAUAGCGGUUGCCGCCUCGGAGAUCGCAUGAAACCUCAGCGAGUGAUUGCGAGUGCAAGCAGCGAAAAUAUAAGUGCGUGAAACAUGCGGUAGACAGUAAAAAAAUUAAGGAAUACAUCGAGUGCGUGCAAAAAAAGAAUAGAAAUAUUAUAUACAGUGUUUUUUAAACAUAUCGAGUGGAAGAAUAGACGUAUUGUUUUGC
rnacentral:misc_RNA from 1 species